rnacentral:rRNA from 1 species
UACGAAGGGGGCUAGCGUUGCUCGGAAUGACUGGGCGUAAAGGGCGCGUAGGCGGUUUGUACAGUCAGAUGUGAAAUUCCCGGGCUCAACCUGGGGGCUGCAUUUGAUACGUGCGGACUUGAGUGAGGAAGAGGGUCGUGGAAUUCCCAGUGUAGAGGUGAAAUUCGUAGAUAUUGGGAAGAACACCGGUGGCGAAGGCGGCGACCUGGUCCUUGACUGACGCUGAGGCGCGAAAGCGUGGGGAGCAAACAGG